rnacentral:rRNA from 1 species
GACAGAGGUGCCGAGCGUUAGGCGGAAUCACUGGGCUUAAAGCGUGUGUAGGCGGAUCGUUAAGUGUCUUGUGAAAUCCCACGGCUCACCCGUGGAACUGCUGGGCAUACUGGCGAUCUUGGGCCAACUAGGGGCAGCCGGAACAAGCGGUGGAGCGGUGAAAUGCGUAGAUAUCGCUUGGAACGCCGAAGGUGAAAACAGGCUGCUGGGGUUGUGCCGACGCUGGAGACACGAAAGCCAGGGGGAGCAAACGGG